rnacentral:rRNA from 1 species
AUUGAACGCUGGCGGCAGGCCUAACACAUGCAAGUCGAGCGAGCGGCGGACGGGUGAGUAAUGUAUGGGGACUGCCCGAUAGAGGGGGAUAACUACUGGAAACGGUGGCUAAUCCCGCAUACUAUCGGAUAACCCAUAUGGGAUUAGCUAGUAGGUGGGGUAAAGUAUCAUCUAGGCGACGAUCUCUAGAUGGUCUGAGAGGAUGACCAGCCACAUUGGUACUGUGACAAGGCCCAGACUGCUACGGAGGCAGCAGUGGGGAAUAUUGCGCAAUGGGCGCAAGCCUGAUGCAGCCAUGCCGCGUGUAUUAAGAAGGCCUUAGGGUUGUAAAGUACUUUCGGCGGGGAGGCGUUACCCGCAGAAGAAGCAACGGCUAACUCCGUGCCAGCAGCCGCGGUAAUAC